UGUCAUCUUCUUGAAGUUGUCGACCUUUCCAACUUGGAGAAUUUGUUGGAGCUAAGUCUAAUCGACAAUGAGAUUUGUGAUAUUCAAGGGCUUGAAGGUUUAGCAUCGUUGCAAUGCUUGAGAGUGGACAACUGCAAGUCAAGCAAGUUCAGCGGGCUUGAAAGACUGAAGAAUCUACAACUCUUGCAGCUUAGGAUGUGUUGGUUCCUUCAGACAUUGCCCAACUUAUCUAACUUCAAAAAUCUCAAGGACUUUGAACUAUGGUACUGUCCGGAACUGGUUCAGAUUGAAGGUCUUGACAGAUUGGAAUUACUAGAAAGGCUUGAUGUCAUAUGCUGCAGUUCCUUGCGAAGCUUACCUGAUCUAUCCCACUUAAAGAAGCUGAAGAUGAAUUGGCAGCGAGAAAAACCAAUAGCUCAACGAGAUGAUCGCCCACUAGCAUUUGAAAAAGCUUGAAGAUCAGUAAAUCCUGAAAUUUGAGGCUUGGAGGAAUUUGUCAUCAAAAUGUCGUGAGAUCAACUUACAGUGAUCAUUCACACCUGAUUUUUAAUUGAAAUUUCAAGCAAAAUCGGCCAUUUAGAAGUUUGGCUCUAAUGGAAUGGGUUCUGAUCGCC